CUAGGCCAAAGUUCUGUGGACUGAUGAGCAAAGGUACGUUUGGAGAAGAAAGGGCACAGAAUUUAAUGAAAAGAACCUCUGUCCAGCUGUUAAGCAUGGGGGUGGAUCAAUCAUGCUUUGGGGUUGUAUUGCAGCCAGUGGCACAGGGAACAUUUCACGAGUAGAAGGAAAAAUGGAUUCAAUCAAAUUUCAGCAAAUUUUGGAUGUUAACUUGAUGCCAUCUGUGAAAAAGCUGAAGUUAAAGAGAGGAUGGCUUCUACAAAUGGAUAAUGAUCCUAAACACACCUCAAAAUCCACAGUGGAUUACAUCAAGAGGCGUAAACUGAAGGUUUUGUCAUGGUCUUCACAAU